rnacentral:lncRNA from 10 species
GGCUUUGUGCUCCUGGAGCUGUAGAGACAGGGUUUCACCAAGUUGGCCAGGCUGGUCUUCAACUCUGACCUCAAGUGAUCCACCUGCCUCGGCCUCCCAAAUUGCUAAGAUUACAGAUGUGAGCCACUGCAUCCGGCCGAGAAUCCAACAGUUUUACUUUGGGUAUGUGUAUGUAUUUGUCCUUUAGGAGUCAUAUCUAAAAAGCCAUUACCUAAUCCAGGGUCAUGAAGAUUUACACCUGUUUCUUGUGAGAAGUUUAUAGUUUUUGCUCUACUGUUUAGGUCUGUGGUUCAUUUUCAGUUGAUUUUUUAAUAUAGUGUAAGGUAGGGGUCCAAUUUCAUUAUUUCGCAUGAGGAUAUUCAGUUGUCCUGAUACCAUUUGUUUAAAAAGUUCUAUUUUUCCCCUUUGAGUUUUCUCAGGACCCUUGUCAAAAAUCAAUUGACCGUAAUAUGAAAAGUUUAUUUCUGGAUUCUUGAUUCUAUUCCAUUCAUCGCUACGCCUGUUUUUAUGCCAGUACCAUACUGUCUUUAUUACUGUGGCUUUGUAAUAAAUAUUAAAAUUGAG